GGCGAGGGUUGAAGUUUCUCAAAUGCAAUCAAACUCCAAGGUCAAGGUCAAAAGGUAAAAAUUGUUGGUAUCAAAAGAAAAGUCUUGUCACAAGAAAUACACCUGUGAAAUAUCAAAGCCAUAGCCCCACCCAUUCAAAAGUUAUAAUCAAGGUUAAAGUUUUUGCGGAGAAACAGACAAACAGA